AAGUAGCUCUGCUUCGGGAGAGUAUUAUAGACCCUGGGGGAUGCAGCCUGCGGGAUCGAGGAUUGCAGCAAAUGCCUUUGGCUUGUCGCCUGAUCUCUGGAUGUUACCUCGCUUUUGACAACAUUCUUGCCACUUGUGGGUACUAAUGCCCAUUAGGUUAGAGCGAUCAAAAAUUUUGCUAAGGAUGCUGACGUAAUGGCUUUAAACGACCCGUCUUGAAACACGGCUGUCUCUUAUACACAUCUCCGAGCCC
rnacentral:rRNA from 1 species